AAAAACAAAAAAAUUAGCAGCCAAAGCUGGGCAGGGCAUGGAUUGUCUUCAGUGCGCUUCCGGUGCGGCCUCUUUCACGUCGUUGAGGGUGGAAUCUAGAACCUCCACUCCCAAUUUUGUUUCCGUUAGGGUUUCAUUUGCUCGUGAAUGGGACUUUUUGAGGAAGCCCUCUUUCCCGUUCUUGUCAUCGAGCGCUUAUUCUCUGCAUGAUGGUAAUCAAUUAAAGUUUUCCUUGAAAGUUGGAGUCUCAACAUGGAUUCAUGAUUUUAAAUGCCAAUCAAGAAAAAUUGGUAUCAGAAAUGAUCAUCCCCAGAAUGCUGAUCUGCCACCUUUUUACUCGAAGAAGGAGAAGAAGCCUUUUCCAAUACCCAUAGUUGAGCUGAGGCGAGCUGCAAGGGAGAGGAUAAAGAAAUUAAAGGGAAAGCCUAAGACUCCAACCCCUCCUCCAAGGAAUGGUAUGCUGGUCAAAAGCCUAGUUCCUGUCGCAUAUGAAGUGCUCAAUGCAAGGGUAAAACUAAUAAACAAUUUGAAGAAGCUCAUGAAAGUGGUACCGGUUCUUGCUUGCAAGCAUUGCAAUGAAAUCCAUGUUGGACCAAAUGGGCACCCAUUUCGCUCAUGCCGAGGUCUCCGAGCUGAAACCCGCCGAGGUCUUCAUGAAUGGACAAAGGCAAAUGUUGAUGAUGUGUUCGUCCCUAUUGAAGCCUACCAUCUAUUUGAUCGUCUUGGAAGGCGUAUAUCCCAUGAGGAGCGUUUUUCCAUCCCUCGCAUCCCAGCUAUUAUAGAGUUGUGCAUACAAGCUGGUGUAGACCUUCCUGAUCUCCACACCAAGAGGCGGAGAAGGCCGGUCAUUCGUCGUGGGAAAAAUGACAUCAUUGAUGCCAAUGAAGAUGAUCUUCCAGAUGACCUUGACCCCUAUGCCAAGUUUAGAAAGUCAAUCCUUGUUGAGAUCCCUGACUCUGAGAUAACUUCGCCAGUUGGGUCUGAGGAAGUAGCAUUGCUUGCAAUGGAGACAUUUGAGGCAUGGGAGUUGGUGAGGCAGGGGGCAGAGAGGCUGAUGAGGAAGUAUGCAGUGCGUGUAUGCGGAUAUUGUCCUGAGGUACACGUUGGCUAUAGUGGCCACAAGGCGCAGAACUGUGGUGCUCAUAAGCACCAACAACGAAAUGGACAACAUGGAUGGCAAAAAGCAGUUCUUGAUGACCUUGUUCCACCGAGGUAUGUAUGGCAUGUUCCAGAGAACAUGUUUGAGCUGCAACGGGAGCUACGAAAUUUCUACGGGCAGGCUCCGGCAAUAGUUGAGCUUUGUGUAAAGGGGGGGAUGGAGGUACCUGAAAAAUACAAGUCAACCAUGAGGCUGGACAUCGGUAUACCGACCAACUUAAGGGAAGCAGAAAUGGUGGUGUGAGUGAGUUGAUUUAUAGUUGAGUUGAGGGAGUUAUGAUGGAGUCUCAUAAUCAUGAAUUGAGAGAAGAUUGUUUUGAAGAUUCCCUUCUAUUUAACGAUGAUUCCAACCUUUAACUUUGAUGAGUAGAAUGGUGCUCUCCUCGUGCCAAUGUAAUAUUUAUUUUUUGAAUCCUCUUCGCUUUCUUUAACACAGCAUUUGAAAGUUGCUGUUGUAUCCUGAACAAUAUGAUGGUCUGAGACAGGGCACAGUUGAACAAUUGAAUCAAUACUACUGGAACAUGAAUCUAUUAGAUGUAACUUGUUCCGUCAUUGUUUCUAUUCUUCAUAGAAUUUGUCAAUCCUACAGAGCUUUUGAGUUUUUGUUUUGUUAUUCCGAUAAAAUGUAAUUCGUGAAUUGUGAAUUUUGUUGUUUUUGAAGAUUGCAAACAUUAUGUAUUCUUCAGUUCUGGUGGUUGUUUCCUUUUCUGAA